GAUGAACGCUAGCUACAGGCUUAACACAUGCAAGUCGAGGGGUAACGAGAGGAAAGCUUGCUUUCCUUGUCGACGACCGGCGCACGGGUGAGUAACGCGUAUCCAACCUGCCCCCAACUAAGGAAUAACCUUGCGAAAGUAAGACUAAUACCUUAUAAUUUCCUCAGAUGACAUCUGACGAGGAAUAGAGAUUUAUCGGUUGUGGAUGGGGAUGCGUCUGAUUAGCUGGUUGGCGGGGUAACGGCCCACCAAGGCAACGAUCAGUAGGGGUUCUGAGAGGAAGGUCCCCCACAUUGGAACUGAGACACGGUCCAAACUCCUACGGGAGGCAGCAGUGAGGAAUAUUGGUCAAUGGGCGGAAGCCUGAACCAGCCAAGUAGCGUGCAGGAUGACGGCCCUAUGGGUUGUAAACUGCUUUUAUACAGGAAUAAAGUUAGCCACGUGUGGUUAUUUGUAGGUACUGUAUGAGUAAGGACCGGCUAAUUCCGUGCCAGCAGCCGCCGUAA
rnacentral:rRNA from 1 species